rnacentral:tRNA from 1 species
GAAAAUAUAGUUUAACAAAAACAUUAGAUUGUGAAUCUAAAUUUAGGAGUUUAAAUUACCUUGUAUGCC